AAUGAACGCUGGCGGCGUGCUUAACACAUGCGAGUCGUGCGCGAAGGCGGCUUCGGCUGCCGGAGAGCGGCGAACGGGUGAGUAACACGUGGGUAAUCUACCUGGGAGUGGGGGAUAACCUGGGGAACGUCGGGCUAAGACCGCAUACGAUGCUGGGACUUCGGUCCUGUUCUGAAAGCUGGCCUCUGCUUGCAAGCUAGCGCUCCCAGAGGAGCCCGCGGCNGAUUAGCUGGUUGGUGGGGUAAUGGCCUACCAAGGCGACGAUCAGUAGCCGGCCUGAGAGGGUGAUCGGCCACACUGGAACUGAGACACGGUCCAGACUCCUACGGGAGGCAGCAGUGGGGAAUAUUGGACAAUGGGCGCAAGCCUGAUCCAGCAACGCCGCGUGGAGGACGAAGGUCUUCGGAUCGUAAACUCCUGUC
rnacentral:rRNA from 1 species